rnacentral:lncRNA from 1 species
GAAUAUAAAACUGUAAAUUAUACUAAUGCAUGAUAAUUAUGCUCGAGUCUUUCUCUUAUAUUUGUUCCUUUGCUAAUCCAGUUGACGCUUAACCUUGUCCAUAAGCUGUCCUGCAUUAAUCCCCUUCACUUGAAGGAAACUAUUCGUCGAGCUUUGUUUCUUUGUGCUCUUCCCAUGCAUCGCUCAUGAUUGCAAAGGCAUAACAUUUAGAGAAGCGCGAUGGUGCUCUUUAUUAUUUUUUACAAAAAAGGUCGGAAAGAUCCUAGCUAAAUAUUAGGUAAGGACA